GCCACCGUAGCUCAGCUGGUAGAGCACCUCACUCGUAAUGAGGAUGUCUGCGGUUCGAUCCCGCACGGUGGCUUCA
rnacentral:tRNA from 1 species